UCGAGAAUCUUUCGCAAUGGGGGAAACCCUGACGACGCGACGCCGCGUGGAGGAUGAAGGCCUUCGGGUUGUAAACUCCUGUCAGCAGGGGAGAACAAGCUUUUGAUGCAUAAUUGAGAGCUUUGACAGUACCUGCAGAGGAAGCCACGGCUAACUCUGUGCCAGCAGCCGCGGUAAUACAGAGGUGGCAAGCGUUGUUCGGAUUUAUUGGGCGUAAAGGGUCCGUAGGCGGCCUGAAAAGUCGGAUGUGAAAUCCCACGGCUUAACUGUGGAACUGCAUUCGAAACUUUCAGGCUUGAGUGUGAGAGGGGUAAAGGGAAUUCCCGGUGUAAGGGUGAAAUCUGCAGAGAUCGGGAGGAACACCAGUCGCGAAGGCGCUUUACUGGAUCACUACUGACGCUGAGGGACGAAAGCCAGGGGAGCAAACG
rnacentral:rRNA from 1 species